GUAGUUGGUUUCUUGUCUCCUUCCGCAGCAGGAUUCGGAUCACGGUGGCCAAAAAUCAUAC
rnacentral:sRNA from 1 species